rnacentral:rRNA from 1 species
UACGUAGGGACCAAGCGUUGUUCGGAUUUACUGGGCGUAAAGGGCGCGUAGGCGGCGUGACAAGUCACUUGUGAAAUCUCCGGGCUUAACUCGGAACGGUCAAGUGAUACUGUUGUGCUAGAGUACAGAAGGGGGCAAUCGGAAUUCUUGGUGUAGCGGUGAAAAUGCGUAGAUAUCAAGAGGAACACCAGAGGCGAAGGCGGAUUGCUGGGCUGAUACUGACGCUGAGGCGCGAAAGCUAGGGGUAGCAAAACGGG